rnacentral:rRNA from 1 species
AUGGCUCAGAGUGAACGCUGGCGGCAGGCCUAAUACAUGCAAGUCGAACGGCAGCACAGCAGAGCUUGCUCUGUGGGUGGCGAGUGGCGGACGGGUGAGGAAUACGUGGGAAUCUGCCCAGUCGUGGGGGAUAACGUAGGGAAACUUACGCUAAUACCGCAUGCGCCCUUCGGGGGAAAGCCGGGGACCUUCGGGCCUGGCGCGAUUGGAUGAGCCCACGUCGGAUUAGCUAGUGGCGGGUAAAGGCCCACCAAGGCGACGAUCCGUAGCUGGUCUGAGAGGAUGAUCAGCCACACCGGAACUGAGACACGGUCCAGACUCCUACGGGAGGCAGCAGUAGGGAAUAUUGGACAAUGGGCGCAAGCCUGAUCCAGCCAUGCCGCGUGAGUGAAGAAGGCCCUCGGGUUGUAAAGCUCUUUUGUCCGGAAAGAAAAGCGCCGGGUUAAUACCCUGGUGUCCUGACGGUACCGGAAGAAUAAGCACCGGCUAACUUCGUG